rnacentral:rRNA from 1 species
CGCUGGCGGCGUGCCUAACACAUGCAAAGUCGAACGGAGUGUUUCGCUGAUUUGACACCAGCUUGCUGGGAGAUUUUCUUGAAACACUUAGUGGCGGACGGGUGAGUAACGCGUGAGUAACCUACCUUACAGAGGGGGACAACAGUUGGAAACGACUGCUAAUACCGCAUAACAUAGCGAAGAGGCAUCUCUUUGUUAUCAAAGGAGCAAUCCGCUGUAAGAUGGACUCGCGUCCAAUUAGAUAGUUGGUGGGGUAAAGGCCUACCAAGUCGACGAUUGGUAGCCGGACUGAGAGGUUGAACGGCCACAUUGGGACUGAGACACGGCCCAGACUCCUACGGGAGGCAGCAGUGGGGGAUAUUGCACAAUGGGGGAAACCCUGAUGCAGCAACGCCGCGUGAGGGAAGAAGGUUUUCGGAUCGUAAACUUUUGUCAUCGGGGACGAGAAUGGACGGUACCCGAGAAGGAAGCCACGGCUAACUACGUG